rnacentral:rRNA from 1 species
GACGAACGCUGGCGGCGUGCUUAACACAUGCAAGUCGAACGAAAAGAGGGAAAGAGCUUGCUCUUUCCGGAAUUGAGUGGCAAACGGGUGAGUAACACGUAAACAACCUGCCUUCAGGAUGGGGACAACAGACGGAAACGACUGCUAAUACCGAAUAAGUUCCAAGGGCCGCAUGGCCCAUGGAAGAAAAGGUGGCCUCUACCUGUAAGCUAUCGCCUGAAGAGGGGUUUGCGUCUGAUUAGCUGGUUGGAGGGGUAACGGCCCACCAAGGCGACGAUCAGUAGCCGGUCUGAGAGAAUGAACGGCCACACUGGAAUUGAGAAACGGUCCAGACUCCUACGGGAGGCAGCAGUGGGGAAUCUUCCGCAAUGGGCGAAAGCCUGACGGAGCAACGCCGCGUGAGUGAUGACGGCCUUCGGGUUGUAAAACUCUGUGAUCCGGGACGAAAAGGCAGAGUGCGAAGAACAAACUGCAUUGACGGUACCGGAAAAGCAAGCCACGGCUAACUACGUG